rnacentral:rRNA from 1 species
UACGUAGGGCGCAAGCGUUGUCCGGAAUUAUUGGGCGUAAAGAGCUCGUAGGCGGCUUGUCACGUCGGUUGUGAAAAGCCCGGGGGCUUAACCCCCGGGUCUGCAGUCGAUACGGGCAGGCUAGAGUUCGGUAGGGGAGAUCGGAAUUCCUGGUGUAGCGGUGAAAUGCGCAGAUAUCAGGAGGAACACCGGUGGCGAAGGCGGAUCUCUGGGCCGAUACUGACGCUGAGGAGCGAAAGCGUGGGGAGCGAACAGG